CAGUAGCCGCGGGAAUACAGAGGGUGCAAGCGUUAAUCGGAAUUACUGGGCGUAAAGCGCGCGUAGGUGGUUUGUUAAGUUGGAUGUGAAAGCCCCGGGCUCAACCUGGAAACUGCAUCCAAAACUGGCAAGCUAGAGUACGGUAGAGGGUGGUGGAAUUUCCUGUGUAGCGGUGAAAUGCGUAGAUAUAGGAAGGAACACCAGUGGCGAAGGCGACCACCUGGACUGAUACUGACACUGAGGUGCGAAAGCGUGGGGAGCAAACAGGAUUAGAUACCCCGGUAGUCCCUGUCUCUUAUAC
rnacentral:rRNA from 1 species